rnacentral:tRNA from 1 species
CUGCCGGUAGUUCAGUUGGUAGAAUGCGUGAUUUGGGGUCAUGUGGUCGCUGGUUCAAAUCCGGCCCGGCAGA